GAACGCUGGCGGCGUGCCUAAUACAUGCAAGUCGAGCGAACAGACGAGGAGCUUGCUCCUCUGACGUUAGCGGCGGACGGGUGAGUAACACGUGGAUAACCUACCUAUAAGACUGGGAUAACUUCGGGAAACCGGAGCUAAUACCGGAUAAUAUAUUGAACCGCAUGGUUCAAUAGUGAACGACGGUUUUGCUGGCACUUAUAGAUGGAUCAGCGCCGCAUUAUCUAGUUGGUAAGGUAACGGCUUACCAAGGCAACGAUGCGUAGCCGACCUGAGAGGGGGAUCGGCCACACUGGAACUGAGACACGGCCCAGACUCCUACGGGAGGCAGCAGUAGGGAAUCUUCCGCAAUGGGCGAAAGCCUGACGGAGCAACGCCGCGUGAGUGAUGAAGGUCUUCGGAUCGUAAAACUCUGUUAUUAGGGAAGAACAAAUGUGUAAGUAACUAUGCACGUCUGGACGGUACCAAAUCAGAAAGCCACGGCUAACUACGU
rnacentral:rRNA from 1 species